UUAUUUCCCUGGAAGGGGAGAUACCACGACCAAGGAGGCUGUUUUCAUCUGUUGCAUCUGCCAAUCCUGGUAUUUCCUCAAAUAUGGGAAACCCAACUGCUAAUUUAUGGUAGCUGGAAACUGUGUUCUCAUUUUUCCCC
rnacentral:snRNA from 1 species